GGUAGCAUAAUCAUUAGUCUUUUAAUUGGAGACUGGUAUGAAUGGUUAAACGAGAGAUCAACUUUUUUUACCGUAAAAAUUGAAUUUAACUUUUUAGUGAAAAGGCUAAAAUUUUUCAGAAAGACGAGAAGACCCUAUAGAGUUUUAUAAAGGACUAAUACUUUUUAUUUGGAUUUUUAUAAAAAAUAUUAAUAAAUUUAUUUUGUUGGGGCGACAUUUAGAUAAAAAAAACUCUUUAUAAGAAAAAUUUUUAUGAAAAUAUGGAUUGAUCCUUUAAAAAAGAUCAUAAGAAAAAAUUACCUUAGGGAUAACAGCGUAAUCUUUUUUGAGAGUUCUAAUCGACAAGAAGGUUUGCGACCUCGAUGUUGGACUAAAAUUAGGGCAGGGU
rnacentral:rRNA from 1 species